rnacentral:rRNA from 1 species
UUGGUGGCGAUGGCGGAAGGGAACCACGAGUACCCAUCCCGAACACGACCGUUAAGCCUUCCAGCGCCGAUGGUACUUGGACCGCAGGGUCCUGGGAGAGUAGGACGUCGCCA